rfam:Winogradskyella jejuensis strain DSM 25330 genome assembly, contig: Ga0131247_102
GGAGUUGGCAGAGCGGUCUAAUGCAGCUGAUUUAUAAUCAGCCGAACUCUAACGGGUUCCAUGGGUUCGAAUCCCAUACUCUCCG